rnacentral:rRNA from 2 species
UCGGGAAUUUUGGGCAAUGGGCGAAAGCCUGACCCAGCAACGCCGCGUGAAGGAUGAAGUAUUUCGGUAUGUAAACUUCGAAAGAAUGGGAAGAAUCAAUGACGGUACCAUUUAUAAGCUCCGGCUAACUACGUGCCAGCAGCCGCGGUAAUACGUAGGGAGCAAGCGUUGUUCGGAUUUACUGGGCGUAAAGGGCGCGUAGGCGGCCUGUCAAGUCAACUGUGAAAUCUCCGGGCUUAACUCGGAACGGUCAGUUGAUACUGUCAGGCUAGAGUGCAGAAGGGGCAAUCGGAAUUCUUGGUGUAGCGGUGAAAUGCGUAGAUAUCAAGAGGAACACCUGAGGUGAAGACGGGUUGCUGGGCUGACACUGACGCUGAGGCGCGAAAGCCAGGGGAGCAAACGGG